rnacentral:misc_RNA from 1 species
UAACAAUUCAUCGGUUGGGUUUACUUCUACCAGUUCACGUGUCUUGUGGUGUCCCCAAAUGUGUGAUUGGAUCAUCUCAAAGCGGGUGUGAAAGUCUGUAAAUGAUAUGUCUAUUUUUAUCGGGUUUCAUGGGGUAGUUUGUUGAUUUUUAGAGUCCUUGAGUAUUAGGUUUGGAAAUUUAUGUACAGACAUAACAGGCAAUUGUGCAUCCUCGUUUGGCCC